rnacentral:lncRNA from 1 species
CCUAUCUUACUAAAAUUCACAUAUCUUAAAAUAUAAAUUUCUUUUUUUUCUACACCGUUAUUUUUCCAUGAAAAUAGACUCAACAAGCUUUAAUUCCAUAUAUCAUUCACCCUCUAAUUCAUUUUAUACUAUCUUGGGUGAUUUUUCAAAUUCACGUCACUGUGCUGCCUGAAUUCUGUUUCUUUGCAAAAUUUUAUCCUUUCAUGAUUUCCAUGCAUAAUUUAUCACCUAAUCUUUCAUAACAACAAACACCUUCAUCCUUAAUCAUUUUAAUAACCAUACAUCAUCAAAUACUUACACAUCACUCAUUAGCAAAAUCAUCACUACAAACAUACAAAAUAACUAAAUCCCUAUACAUGCCAUAACUUAAACGUGUUUCGAUAUAAAAUACCGAGCAGUUGUAGUUGAUAGUGUGGACGAUCUCCGACUUCUUUAGGAUCCUUGAAGUAGCUUUGCAAUACUAUAAGAAAAAGAGAAAUAAAAGAAGUAAGCAUAAAGCUUAGUAAGUUUACUAGCAAAUAAAUAACAAUAUUUAACUUAAAUAAUUAAACUCAAUGUCUAUAUCUCUAGUUUACUCUUUAGUUAAUCUCAUACUAGUUCUCUUACUUGUUUACUUAGAAUAUUUGUGUGCAUAACUUACUCAAUCCUUGCUGCAUCGUUGAACAUCAAUUGAUAGUAUAAUAAGUUCUUAAGUCUUACAACUUACCUGAGCUUACCAUUUAUGCUUUAAACUGAACUUUCAUGAACAUGAUUCGUUUACAAGCCCGUUGAACUACAUUGGAAUAAUAAGGAUACUCGGGUCUCUUCUGAUAAUAACAUGCCAAAGCCAUGUCCCAGACAUGGUCUUACAUGGGAUGUUCUCGUGAUGGUGCCCAUGCCAUGUCCCAAACAUGGUCUUAUAGGGGACCUCUCAUCUCGGUGCCAACGCCAUGUCCCAGACAUGGUCUUACAUGGGACCUCUCGUCUCGGUGCCCAUGCCAUGUCCCAGACAUGGUCUUACAGGGGACCUCUCAUGAUCUUAAGGAUGCCAAUGCCAUGUCCCAGACAUGGUCUUACAUGGGAUCUCUUUACCCAAAUGUCAUGACAUUCGUAUCCAGUACCAUCCUUAUGUAUCAACGGGACUUUUAAAUUUUAAUUCUCUAUCAUUUCAUGCUUGGAUCAUCAUCAAAUAAAUUCAUAAAAUAAAUUCAUAAUUGCCGAAAAUUAACAGCAUUAAUAAUAAAUAUUGAAAUAUUGCAUUUAUUUACCGUAAACUUACCUCGGUACCAAUUAUAGCCAAAUUCACCAACUUAGUCUUCAACUUUAUUCUUCCCUUUGUCUAACCUCGAGUUUCGUACUUCUUGAUCUAAAAUAGUAAAUUUAACUUAUUUAAUAGUCACAUUCAUCAAAAUAGCCCUCGACUCUAACUUUUUCAAAAUUACAAUUUUGCCCCUAAACUUUUACAUAAUUGCAUUUUUGCCCCAAGGCUCGGAAAUUAAACUUCAUCUCUUAUUCUUAUGUUUUAUAACAUUCUGAACAUUUUUCCCUUCUAUGGCAACAUCAAAUUCUAAUUUAAUCCCUUAUCAAUACUAAUUUUAUUUUUGCAUUCUAACUCUAUAUUCUCUCUUAAUUCUUACUAUAAACUCAGUUUAAUUCUUCAAUUUCCCCAUAAAUCCCUAAUUUCGGGAUUCUUUCAAUUUAAUUCCUAUCAAUUCAAAACUUAUGUUUUAUUUUACAAAUCAAUCCUUUAUUCAAUUCCAAUCAAAAUUUCUAUCAAAUACAUCCCUAAUUUAACAAUUUAUUCAACAUGAACCAUGCUUAAUAAUCUACUAACUUCCAAAAUUUCAACUUAAAUCAAGUAGUAUUUUGUUCUAGGAUUUCAAAAAAAAUAUCAAAAUUAAGAGAAAAGGGGAUUAAAUUGACUUACCAAAUUACUUUGAACCUUAAAACCCCAAAAUUCCCUUUUUCUUUUCUUUUCUUUCUUUCUUUCCUUCCUUCCUUCUCUGUUUCGUUUUGCUCUCUGUUUCUUUCUUUCUCCCUUCUCUGUUUUGUUUUGUUUUGCUCUCUGUUUCUUUUCUUUCUUUCUUUGUCAUAUAUUAAUAAUAAUAUAAUAUAAAAACAUAAUUAUUACUUACGCAUGUAUAAUAUAUAUAUUUUAAAUUAAAAAUAUCUUAGAUUUUUCUUUUGUUAUGCCGCCUCAACUUUAGAAAAAGGCAUAAUUGCCUAUUUGGUCCUUUAACUUUUCUUUAAUCUAUAAUUAAACUUUUAUCCUUACUUCAAUUUAGUCCUUUUUCAUAAUUAACUAUCAAAGCUUUAAAAUUUCUUAACGAAACUUUAAUAUUAUCCUGUUGACACUCCGUAAAUAUUUUUAUAAAUAUUUACGGCUCAGUUUAUAAUAUCGAGGUCUCGAUACCUCGUUUUCAACCCAAUUUACCUAAUAAUUUCUUUUAAAUCACAAAAUUCACUGAUUUAAAAAAUAUUUCUAAAAUCACACUUAACUUAUAAUUAUUAAUUAAUAAAUUUUUCUAACUUUUUCAUCAAUUUUAGUGAUCUCAAAUCACUAUUCUGACACUACUAAAAAUUGGGCUGUUACAACUCUUCCCCCUAAAAAAAAUUUCGUCCUCGAAAUUUCUCACCUGAUACAGGCUAUUAAGUCAAAUCUUUCUUCCACCCUUUCAAUCGAAGUCCAUAAAAAUUAAUCAUAACUCAUAUCACUUCCGAAAUCAUAUCAGAACUCAUUUUAGAACUUGAUACUAUGCCUGAACUUAACUGAGUAACUCUGAUGUUCUCUUGCCAUCACUUUUUCACUAGUAGUAUGACUACUAAGAAAUUUCCAGUAAUUGUCUGUCGAAACAUAACUGAGAAACUCGAAUUAUCUUAUUUAAUACCUUUGAACGAAGACCUUGGAAACCCAUCCAGCGAGAAGAAAACAGAUAAUUUAAACCCAUUGUGGAGACCCAAAAUAUAUUGAUUCCAUCACUGAUGAUUACUCAACUUUUCACUGAAUAACCCACUCUGAUUAGAACUGAGUCGAUUUUUAUCUUUCAGAUAAUAACAUUCUAGAAUAAUCCAUUCUUCUUGUUGUCAAAACAAUUUAGAUAUACCAUAUAUCAUAAUCCUCUCAGAACACCAACCGAAAAUUACCACAAAUAGCAUUUAACUCAAACGAAUUUUGACAUUCCAUUAUUGACUUGUUGACAUAAUUCAGAAUUACCUGAGAAAUGAAAACCAAAAUACAAGUUUGAGCUCAAUCUUCCUCCAUCUAUACUUUUGCCGAUGUCAACCCUUUCACGAAAACUAGAAAGGAAUUAUAUAUAUAAUAAAACUAUUUCAAUCAUUAACAUCGAAGCUUUGAACUAUACCGAAGCCACAACCAUCAAAUAGAUUAAAAACUAUAGAGCUAUACUAGGACCGACGUUCCAACUAUAUAGAUAGAACAAUACCUCAACAUCAAUAGUGCACUCCAAAAUAGAUGAAGAAAACCGAAGUAGUCCCAAUAACAACCAGUGCAGUAAUACAACUUCUAAAAUCUGAGAUCCAUAUCACCGAGUUCCCAUGAUCAAACCAAAAUUUAUAACAGUAAUAAAUAUAAUUACCUCCGGCCAAUGAAUAUCUUGUACGGAUAAACCAUGGUUAAUAGAUAAGAUUAGACCAUAAGAAUAAUAAGAAAACCGAGAUAAUAAAAUCCAAGAUGUGAAGCUAUACUAAAUUUUCGAGAAGAAAAACCACAUUGAAUGAUAAAGAGAUCGAUGAUAUCCCAGAGAAAAUCCAAAAGAAGAAUAUCACUUGUACGUACUAGGAAUAGUUGUGAUAAAGACAAUAUAAAUUCCAUAUAUAUAAUUCGGAGCUUCAACCAGUAGAAAUAGAAAAUAGCUUCAUAUGAGUCUUAUCAUCAAAUCUUCCAUCGAACAUAAUAGAUUAGAAAACCAAAGAAAGAUAGGGGAAUCCCGAUCAUGAAUCAACCAGACUAAUAAUAAUUUCGUCUAACAAUACGAUUAGCCAACCUUGCUAUAUGAUAAGAAUCAUAUCUGAAAAUAAAUAAUUGCAUAUACCUCUGAGGAUAAAAGAGCAUAUAGAAUACCUAUAUAGAUUACCCAGAAGAGAUCAUUGAAAAAUACUCGACUAUAACAACUGCAUUCAGAUAUGUUUGCAAUUUUCAACACAAUCCCACUGAUUACUAAAGUCAUCAAUAAUCUCACAUUAUCUCAAUCAUUAAAGAAAUCAAUUCAGAAGAAAUUCCGAUUAACCUGCUCUUUAAAUUUUAUACCUGAGUAAGUCGGUUACUCGUGAAUAGCUUCUUCCUUAAUAGCGACAUUGCAAAUCCCAAUAAUCAUUUAAAAAAAAUCUAAUAUCCUUUCUAGAACUCUCUUUACUUGCUAUCCCAUCCACAAUUCUGACUGCAUUAUUAUUCCUUCAAUUAUUGAACUCUUCAAUUUCACAUUUGUAAACUUAAUGAAUACAAUUCUUGUAAAUUCCAUUGUUCAGGUGAGGGGGUGAAGGUCGUAAAGCCUCAAAAUUUGACUCUUAUAUAUAUACUUAUAUAUAUAUACACAUAACAUGACUUUUAUCGUCAAUAUAUUCAUUACAAACAUUCAUUUCAUACCUUAUAAAUCUUUACUCAUAUAGGCAACUCCCCUUUCUCUAUCAAAUACUCAAAUAUCACUUUCAUCACUGUCGGAACUAGAUCAAUUGGAGACAUUUUUGUCUAUUAGUAAAACAUUUCUCAUUUAUCAAGGUUACCCUUUUAAGUGUAUAAAUGUAUAUUUUCAUCCUUAUCUAUAAGGAUUACUAUUUUAAAUCUCCAUACAGAACUAAAUAACAUUUACUUAUUCACAACUUUAAAUUAUUUUAUUACAAAUACAUACUUCUUUAUUCACAGCUUUGUAACUUAUUUUUCCUUUAUAAUCAUUCAUCAUUGAAUCAAAGAUAAUCUUUUAUCUUGUAACAUUUUUUUUAGCAGAGGCCCAGUAGACGAAACAGAACACUUAGGAAAUAUGGGACUGAUAUAACAUCUGAUGGCACCGUCCCUUCUGCGGGAAUAGGUGCAUUACUCUCUACUUCAUCUGUACUAGCUCGUUCAGGAUCCAUAACUAUAAAAGAAAACAUUUUAAAAUCGUCAGGAGUCGUCACACUAUCAAAAUAUAUAUAAGUAUGGCAUGUAUAGGUAGACUCUUAUUCUUACUGAGUAUUUCCGAGAACCGACUAAACCUGCUCUAAUACCAAUAAAAUGUAACACCCCUUACCCGAGACCGUUUCCGGAGUCGAGCACGAGGCAUUACUUAGCUUAUCUUACCAAUUCGGAGCAUAAAAACUAGGUUUGAAAAUUUAUUUCUUUAUUCGCAGCAAAUCUGUCUAAUCGCGCAGCAGUUACUAAAUUAAUUAUAACUUGAGCUACAGAACUCGAAAUUUAAUCCCGUAAAUUUUCCCUGAAACUAGACUCAUAUAUCUACUCACCAUAAAAUUUUUAGAAUUUUUGGUUCAGAAAAUUAGUACAGUUUAUUAGUUAAAGUAUCCCCUGUGUCACCACCAGACUGCCCUGACCUCUAGUCACUAAAAAUAAGUUUUCUCACUAUAGGAUUUUCAUAUGAAGUUCUUACUUAUUUCUAUAGAAAAUAGACUCAUUAAGGAAUCUAAGCAUGUAAAUUUCAACUCAUAACCAUUUUUUUACAAUUUUUAAUUAUUUUCUAAACUCAGAACAGGGGACUCCAAAAACAGUUCUGACCCUAUCUUACUAAAAUUCACAUAUCUUAAAAUAUAAAUUUCUUUUUUUUCUACACCGUUAUUUUUCCAUGAAAAUAGACUCAACAAGCUUUAAUUCCAUAUAUCAUUCACCCUCUAAUUCAUUUUAUACUAUCUUGGGUGAUUUUUCAAAUUCACGUCACUGUGCUGCCUGAAUUCUGUUUCUUUGCAAAAUUUUAUCCUUUCAUGAUUUCCAUGCAUAAUUUAUCACCUAAUCUUUCAUAACAACAAACACCUUCAUCCUUAAUCAUUUUAAUAACCAUACAUCAUCAAAUACUUACACAUCACUCAUUAGCAAAAUCAUCACUACAAACAUACAAAAUAACUAAAUCCCUAUACAUGCCAUAACUUAAACGUGUUUCGAUAUAAAAUACCGAGCAGUUGUAGUUGAUAGUGUGGACGAUCUCCGACUUCUUUAGGAUCCUUGAAGUAGCUUUGCAAUACUAUAAGAGAAAGAGAAAUAAAAGAAGUAAGCAUAAAGCUUAGUAAGUUUACUAGCAAAUAAAUAACAAUAUUUAACUUAAAUAAUUAAACUCAAUGUCUAUAUCUCUAGUUUACUCUUUAGUUAAUCUCAUACUAGUUCUCUUACUUGUUUACUUAGAAUAUUUGUGUGCAUAACUUACUCAAUCCUUGCUGCAUCGUUGAACAUCAAUUGAUAGUAUAAUAAGUUCUUAAGUCUUACAACUUACCUGAGCUUACCAUUUAUGCUUUAAACUGAACUUUCAUGAACAUGAUUCGUUUACAAGCCCGUUGAACUACAUUGGAAUAAUAAGGAUACUCGGGUCUCUUCUGAUAAUAACAUGCCAAAGCCAUGUCCCAGACAUGGUCUUACAUGGGAUGUUCUCGUGAUGGUGCCCAUGCCAUGUCCCAGACAUGGUCUUAUAGGAGACCUCUCAUCUCGGUGCCAACGCCAUGUCCCAGACAUGGUCUUACAUGGGACCUCUCGUCUCGGUGCCCAUGCCAUGUCCCAGACAUGGUCUUACAGGGGACCUCUCAUGAUCUUAAGGAUGCCAAUGCCAUGUCCCAGACAUGGUCUUACAUGGGAUAUCUUUACCCAAAUGUCAUGACAUUCGUAUCCAGUACCAUCCUUAUGUAUCAACGGGACUUUUAAAUUUUAAUUCUCUAUCAUUUCAUGCUUGGAUCAUCAUCAAAUAAAUUCAUAAAAUAAAUUCAUAAUUGCUGAAAAUUAACAGCAUUAAUAAUAAAUAUUGAAAUAUUGCAUUUAUUUACCGUAAACUUACCUCGGUACCAAUUAUAGCCAAAUUCACCAACUUAGUCUUCAACUUUAUUCUUCCCUUUGUCUAACCUCGAGUUUCGUACUUCUUGAUCUAAAAUAGUAAAUUUAACUUAUUUAAUAGUCACAUUCAUCAAAAUAGCCCUCGACUCUAACUUUUUCAAAAUUACAAUUUUGCCCCUAAACUUUUACAUAAUUGCAUUUUUGCCCCAAGGCUCGGAAAUUAAACUUCAUCUCUUAUUCUUAUGUUUUAUAACAUUCUGAACAUUUUUCCCUUCUAUGGCAACAUCAAAUUCUAAUUUAAUCCCUUAUCAAUACUAAUUUUAUUUUUGCAUUCUAACUCUAUAUUCUCUCUUAAUUCUUACUAUAAACUCAGUUUAAUUCUUCAAUUUCCCCAUAAAUCCCUAAUUUCGGGAUUCUUUCAAUUUAAUUCCUAUCAAUUCAAAACUUAUGUUUUAUUUUACAAAUCAAUCCUUUAUUCAAUUCCAAUCAAAAUUUCUAUCAAAUACAUCCCUAAUUUAACAAUUUAUUCAACAUGAACCAUGCUUAAUAAUCUACUAACUUCCAAAAUUUCAACUUAAAUCAAGUAGUAUUUUGUUCUAGGAUUUCAAAAAAAAUAUCAAAAUUAAGAGAAAAGGGGAUUAAAUUGACUUACCAAAUUACUUUGAACCUUAAAACCCCAAAAUUCCCUUUUUCUUUUCUUUUCUUUCUUUCUUUCCUUCCUUCCUUCUCUGUUUCGUUUUGCUCUCUGUUUCUUUCUUUCUCCCUUCUCUGUUUUGUUUUGUUUUGCUCUCUGUUUCUUUUCUUUCUUUCUUUGUCAUAUAUUAAUAAUAAUAUAAUAUAAAAACAUAAUUAUUACUUACGCAUGUAUAAUAUAUAUAUUUUAAAUUAAAAAUAUCUUAGAUUUUUCUUUUGUUAUGCCGCCUCAACUUUAGAAAAAGGCAUAAUUGCCUAUUUG